GGCACUUUUCUCCCAUGAGCUGCGAGGGGUUCCUUCUUCUCAGCUAAGGCUGGAGGCCAAGAUCAGCCCUUGAGGACUGUCAUCAGGACUACCGUGUUUUCCUGCCUCCGACAGUG
ensembl:scaRNA